UACGAAGGGGGCUAGCGUUGUUCGGAUUUACUGGGCGUAAAGCGCACGCAGGCGGUCUUUUUAGUCAGAAGUGAAAGUCCUGGGCUCAACCUGGGGAUUGCUUUUGAUACUGGAAGACUAGGGUUCGCGAGAGGAUGGCGGAAUUCCCAGUGUAGAGGUGAAAUUCGUAGAUAUUGGGAAGAACACCGGUGGCGAAGGCGGCCAUCUGGCGCGAUACCGACGCUCAUGUGCGAAAGCGUGGGGAGCAAACAGGAUUAGAUACCCCAGUAGU
rnacentral:rRNA from 1 species